AUUGAACGCUGGCGGCAGGCCUAACACAUGCAAGUCGAACGAGUGGCGGACGGGUGAGUAAUGCCUGGGAAACUGCCUGAUGGAGGGGGAUAACUACUGGAAACGGUAGCUAAUACCGAAUACCAUCAGAUGUGCCCAGAUGGGUUGGGCUUGUUGGUGGGGUAACGGCUCACCAAGGCGACGAUGCCUAGCUGGUCUGAGAGGAUGACCAGCCACACUGGAACGGGGACACGGUCAAGAGUCCUACGGGAGGGUGCAGUGGGGAAUAUUGGACAAUGGGGGCAAGCCUGAGGCAGCCAGGCCGAGGGUAUGAAGAAGGCGUUCGGGUGUCAAAGUAUGUUCAGCGGGUAGGCGGUACCCGCAGAAGAAGCACCGGCUAACUCCGUGCCAGCAGCCGCGGUAAUUC
rnacentral:rRNA from 1 species